UGGCGGCCUGGGCCGCGGCCAAGAGCUCGCCCAGGCUCAGCGCCUGGCUGGAGAACCACCGGCUGUUCGGCCCCAUCCUCGCCAAC
rnacentral:tRNA from 1 species